rnacentral:misc_RNA from 1 species
UGGCUCUCGCAUCGAUGAAGAACGCAGCGAAAUGCGAUACGUAAUGUGAAUUGCAGAAUUCAGUGAAUCAUCGAAUCUUUGAACGCACAUUGCGCUCUCUGGUAUUCCGGAGAGCAUGCUUGUUUGAGUAUCAGUAAAACACCCUCAACUCCUUUUUUUCUUGAAGGAAAAAAGGGGUUGGAUUUGAGAGAUCCCAACGGACAGCGCUGCUGACUGGCGGGUCACUUGAAAUGCAGGUGCGGCUGGACACAUCUUCUGAGCUAUAAGCAUUACUCAUUUAAUCCCGUCAAACGGAUUAUCUCUAUUGCUGCAGCUAAUUUCAAAGGUUGAUUGUCCUCUUUUGCCCGACUGAUGCAGAAAGACAAAGGGAAGUCAUGAUCCCUCUGUUCAACUCGAUCUCAAAUCAAGCAAGAUUACCCGCUGA